rnacentral:lncRNA from 1 species
CAUGUUAUAGUUUGUCUUUUUCUUUCACUGACAAAGGAGAAAUAUCAUUAAAGGAUAAAGUGGCUUACACACGAUUAGAAGACCCAAAAAUUAGGGAAUUUAUAAUUCUCUCAAAAUUGACUUGCCAUUGGGCCACGCCACUCAUGACACGAGAAACAUGGAUCACAUCGAGAAGAAUGAACUAACCAAAUCACAAAAGGUGGAUGAACACAAGCCUCCGGAGGCACGUCGGAGUUUGUUGAUGCAGGAAAAGCUUUAGCAAUUCCAAAUGAGGCUGAAGAAAUUUCAGGAUAGCAUGCUCAAGUCUUGAUGCUCAGAGAAAAGUCCAUCCAACCCAGAAGCAAAGUUAGUACGAAAGCUGGUGACUCCUGAUCAGCCCAAUGCAACUGCUCUUUCAAACACCAUUGAAGCAACUGCACACAAAUAUCCAUUUAGCACACAAAUAAAUAAGUUUGCAAAGAAGCCUUCUUAGACAUAUCCAAAUCCAUAAAUCGGGUGAUGAUUCAUUUAAAAACAAAUUACAGAAACAACUCUUUGGUGUUUUAAGUUAUUUUCAGCCACUUAAAUCAUUAGAGCAACUACUACUCGGCAACUUCUUGUGAUCUUUGUUGAUAUUUUGCAUAUACUGCAUAACUUGAUCUAAAAUAUGACUCUUUGAGACUUAACCAACAAACCAAAUCCCAUCCGG